AUUAAAAAGGUGAUAGAGUGGUAUAUGGUUAGCUUGAAACUAAUUAAUGUGGGUUCAAUUCCUACCCUUUUUG
rnacentral:tRNA from 1 species